rnacentral:rRNA from 1 species
UACGUAGGGGGCUAGCGUUAUCCGGAAUUAUUGGGCGUAAAGGGUGCGUAGGCGGUCCUACAAGUCAGAGGUGAAAGGCUACGGCUCAACCGUAGUAAGCCUUUGAAACUGUAGGACUUGAGUGCAGGAGAGGAGAGUGGAAUUCCCAGUGUAGCGGUGAAAUGCGUAGAUAUUGGGAGGAACACCAGUUGCGAAGGCGGCUCUCUGGACUGUAACUGACGCUGAGGCACGAAAGCGUGGGGAGCGAACA